CCUACGGUAGGCAGCAGUGAGGAAUAUUGGUCAAUGGGCGAGAGCCUGAACCAGCCAAGUCGCGUGAGGGAGUACUGCCCUAUGGGUUGUAAACCUCUUUUGUCGUGGAGCAAAAGCCGGACGUGUCCGGCUGUGAGAGUACCCGAAGAAACAGCAUCGGCUAACUCCGUGCCAGCAGCCGCGGUAAUAAGGAGGAUGCGAGGGUUAUCCGGAUUUAUUGGGUUUAAAGGGUGCGCAGGCGGAUUUUUAAGUCAGCGGUCAAAUCGUGGGGCUCAACCCCAUCCAGCCGUUGAAACUGGGGGUCUUGAGUGUGCGUGAGGUAGGCGGAAUGCGUGGUGUAGCGGUGAAAUGCAUAGAUAUCACGCAGAACCCCGAUUGCGAAGGCAGCAUACCGGUGCACAACUGACGCUCAGGCACGAAAGCGUGGGUAUCGAACAGGAUUAGAUACCCCAGUAGUC
rnacentral:rRNA from 1 species